ACGGCCCAUACUCCUACGGGAGGCAGCAGUAGGGAGUUUUCGGCAAUGGGGGAAACCCUGACCGAGCAACGCCGCGUGAACGAUGAAGGUCUUCGGAUUGUAAAGUUCUGUUGUAGGGGAUGAAUGAUUCGUGAAGGAAAUGUCACGAAUUUGACAGUACUCUACCAGAAAGCCACGGCUAACUACGUGCCAGCAGCCGCGGUAAUACGUAGGUGGCAAGCGUUAUCCGGAAUUAUUGGGCGUAAAGAGUGAGCAGGCGGCUAUUUAAGUCUGAGGUCAAAUCCAGUGGCUCAACCACUGUACGCCUUGGAAACUGGGUAGCUAGAGUACGAGAGAGGUAUGUGGAACUCCAUGUGUAG
rnacentral:rRNA from 1 species